GACGAACGCUGGCGGCGUGCUUAACACAUGCAAGUCGAGCGGUAAGGCCCUUUCGGGGGUACACGAGCGGCGAACGGGUGAGUAACACGUGGGUGACCUGCCCUCAGCUCUGGGAUAAGCCUGGGAAACCGGGGUCUAAUACUGGAUAUGACUCCAUGACGCAUGUUGUGGGGUGGAAAGCCUUGUGCGGCUGAGGAUGGGCCCGCGGCCUAUCAGCUUGUUGGUGGGGUGANGGCCUACCAAGGCGACGACGGGUAGCCGGCCUGAGAGGGCGGCCGGCCACACUGGGACUGAGACACGGCCCAGACUCCUACGGGAGGCAGCAGUGGGGAAUCUUGCGCAAUGGGCGAAAGCCUGACGCAGCGACGCCGCGUGAGGGAUGACGGCCU
rnacentral:rRNA from 1 species